UCCUCACCUAAACCCAAGGGCCACUAUUUAUUGUAAUAGUGGCUCAAACACAGGUGCUAACAGCAAAGGAUACCUCGUCAUCUUUGGAGGACUUCCUGUGCCCUUCAAAGUGAAUUUAGAGGUUCUAAACUC
rfam:Erinaceus europaeus unplaced genomic scaffold scaffold00651, whole genome shotgun sequence